rnacentral:rRNA from 1 species
GACGAACGCUGGCGGCGUGCCUAAUACAUGCAAGUAGAACGCUGAAGGAGGAGCUUGCUUCUCUGGAUGAGUUGCGAACGGGUGAGUAACGCGUAGGUAACCUGCCUGGUAGCGGGGGAUAACUAUUGGAAACGAUAGCUAAUACCGCAUAAGAGUAGAUGUCGCAUGACAUUUGCUUAAAAGGUGCAAUUGCAUCACUACCAGAUGGACCUGCGUUGUAUUAGCUAGUUGGUGAGGUAACGGCUCACCAAGGCAACGAUACAUAGCCGACCUGAGAGGGUGAUCGGCCACACUGGGACUGGGACACGGCCCAGACUCCUACGGGAGGCAGCAGUAGGGAAUCUUCGGCAAUGGACGGAAGUCUGACCGAGCAACGCCGCGUGAGUGAAGAAGGUUUUCGGAUCGUAAAGCUCUGUUGUAAGAGAAGAACGAGUGUGAGAGUGGAAAGUUCACACUGUGACGGUAUCUUACCAGAAAGGGACGGCUAACUACGUG